AAUCCAUAGGUUAAUGAGGCGAACCGGGGGAACUGAAACAUCUAAGUACCCCGAGGAAAAGAAAUCAACCGAGAUUCCCCCAGUAGCGGCGAGCGAACGGGGAGGAGCCCAGAGCCUGAAUCAGCAUGUGUGUUAGUGGAAGCGUCUGGAAAGGCGCGCGAUACAGGGUGACAGCCCCGUACACAAAAGCGCAUGUGCUGUGAGCUCGAUGAGUAGGGCGGGACACGUGGUAUCCUGUCUGAAUAUGGGGGGACCAUCCUCCAAGGCUAAAUACUCCUGACUGACCGAUAGUGAACCAGUACCGUGAGGGAAAGGCGAAAAGAACCCCGGCGAGGGGAGUGAAAAAGAACCUGAAACCGUGUACGUACAAGCAGUGGGAGCACAGGUUUACCUGUGUGACUGCGUACCUUUUGUAUAAUGGGUCAGCGACUUAUAUUCUGUAGCAAGGUUAACCGAAUAGGGGAGCCGGAGGGAAACCGAGUCUUAAUUGGGCGUUAAGUUGCAGGGUAUAGACCCGAAACCCGGUGAUCUAGCCAUGGGCAGGUUGAAGGUUGGGUAACACUAACUGGAGGACCGAACCGACUAAUGUUGAAAAAUUAGCGGAUGACCUGUGGCUGGGGGUGAAAGGCCAAUCAAACCGGGAGAUAGCUGGUUCUCCC
rnacentral:rRNA from 1 species